AUUGAACGCUGGCGGCAGGCCUAACACAUGCAAGUCGAGCGGUAGCACAGAGAAGCUUGCUUCUUGGGUGACGAGCGGCGGACGGGUGAGUAACGCGUGGGAAUCUACCUGGUAGUGGGGGACAACAGUCGGAAACGACUGCUAAUACCGCAUACGCCCUUCGGGGGAAAGUGGGGGAUCUUCGGACCUCACGCUAUCAGAUGAGCCCGCGUCGGAUUAGCUUGUUGGUGAGGUAAAGGCUCACCAAGGCGAUGAUCCGUAGCUGGUCUGAGAGGAUGACCAGCCACACUGGGACUGAGACACGGCCCAGACUCCUACGGGAGGCAGCAGUGGGGAAUAUUGGACAAUGGGGGCAACCCUGAUCCAGCCAUGCCGCGUGUGUGAAGAAGGCCUUCGGGUUGUAAAGCACUUUCAGCUGUGAGGAAAGGCGAGUGGUUAAUACCCGCUUGCUGUGACGUUAACAGCAGAAGAAGGACCGGCUAACUCCGUGCCAGCAGCCGCGGUAAUACGGAGGGUCCGAGCGUUAAUCGGAAUUACUGGGCGUAAAGCGCGCGUAGGUGGUUCAGUCAGUCAGAUGUGAAAGCCCCGGGCUCAACCUGGGAACUGCACCUGAUACUGCUGAGCUAGAGUAC
rnacentral:rRNA from 1 species